ACGGGUGAGGAAUACAUCGGAAUCUACUCUGUCGUGGGGGAUAACGUAGGGAAACUUACGCUAACACCGCAUACGACCUACGGGUGAAAGCAGGGGAUCUUCGGACCUUGCGCGAUUGAAUGAGCCGAUGUCGGAUUAGCUAGUUGGCGGGGUAAAGGCCCACCAAGGCGACGAUCCGUAGCUGGUCUGAGAGGAUGAUCAGCCACACUGGAACUGAGACACGGUCCAGACUCCUACGGGAGGCAGCAGUGGGGAAUAUUGGACAAUGGGCGCAAGCCUGAUCCAGCCAUACCGCGUGGGUGAAGAAGGCCUUCGGGUUGUAAAGCCCUUUUGUUGGGAAAGAAAUCCAGCUGGCUAAUACCCGGUUGGGAUGACGGUACCCAAAGAAUAAGCACCGGCUAACUUCGUGCCAGCAGCCGCGGUAAUACGAAGGGUGCAAGCGUUACUCGGAAUUACUGGGCGUAAAGCGUGCGUAGGUGGUCGUUUAAGUCCGUUGUGAAAGCCCUGGGCUCAACCUGGGAACUGCAGUGGAUACUGGGCGACUAGAGUGUGGUAGAGGGUAGCGGAAUUCCUGGU
rnacentral:rRNA from 1 species